AUAAUAAUAAUAAUACUACAUGUUUAUACAGGAUACGCCUUUUCAGUACAAUUAAAGUACUCCUAUCAAUAAGGGUCCUGUUUAAAGAAACUAUUGACAAAGUUAAAAUAUAAUACGAUUAUCGUGCAAAGCUAAGAUAAUCUAUUUUGCGUUUGAAGUUUACAAGGAAAGAUUCGUUCUGAAGGUCGGAUGACAAUCCAUUAAAAAUUAGUGCUCCUUGAAAGGCAAACGUUUUUCUUCCUGCUUCUGUUUGACUCUUGGCAAUAUAAGACGUGAGCCGUUUCCUUGUGUAUCCUUGCCAUGAUUAAAUUGCUGAAACAUGUUUCGCAGUAGUGGAUGGCAAGAAUCAUUUAAAGACUUAAACACGUCGAUCGAUACUCGUUUUUUCCGGAUUUGAUCCACUGUGUCCAUCUUCAGGGUCGUGUUCUUAGUACGAGCUAUGAUCUUAUGGGCUCUGUCUUGGAUUGACUGCAGCUUUUUCUUGGCACUUUCACCUACGCUUAGAUAAAUGGGAUAGCAGUAGAGUAGCACAGGCCUUAUCGUAACGCUAUUUAUUUUCUCCACAACAAGUGGAGAGAUGUUGGGACGAAUUCUUUGCAGGAGUUUUACCCGACUUGAGGCUCGCUUGUAGAUCUUGUCCAUUUGCAUACUCAUUGUUAGGUGACUGUCAAGGGUGAUUCCCAGAUAUUCAUAGCUCGUAGUUUGGUUUAUCGGAGUGCCAUUCAGAGAGACAUUACAUGACGGUUGUUUCGCUAGUUUUUGAUUUGUACCGUAGAUAACGAGUUCAGUUUUGCCUUUUUUGAGAUUCAGUAUUAGAUUAUUGUUCGCAAACCAUUUACCAACUAAGUUUAAUUUAAAAUUAAUAGUCUUAAGCAUAAGGGUCCUUAAGCAAAAAGGCGUCUGCUGGUAAUUAAAAUAUAUCUAUUUAGAACAUAUUAUUUAAUAGCUUGGUAAAUUUAAGAUUAAUAGAUGGCACUUAAAAGGAGAUGCUUUACAUUUGUAUCGACACAAUGGAAAAUGAUAGACACGGAUAAACCACAGGUAAAUCAAACAAUGAUUUCAAAUAUGAUAAGCUGGUGUUAUUUCAAAGAAGUAGUUUUCAACGAAGCACUGGGGCAGUAGUGUUUCUUUAAAUUGAAAGCAUCAAACCUUGGAAAUUAUCCGUGCUUUAUUCUUUAUAAGUAAGUAUUUUAUUGAAAAGGAUCCUUACCACAAGGAGGAUAUCGUAGUAGGGCAUUGACAGAGGAAAAGCAUGGAAGAAAAAAAACGCAAUGCAAGGGAAAAAAGAAUUAGUUUACAGAAUGUCAUGCACAGAUGCUUGCUUAUUUAAAGAAAUCACAACGGGUAAGUUCAUUUCGGUGCCUUACAACUGUUGAAUGAUAUGUUAUGAAUGAAUUUGCCUAGAACAAUGUUUAGCUUUCUGGCAACCUAAAAAUUAGAUUCGUCAAAGGCAACAUACAGGUGCAUACAGGAGCCAUUGACAAAUAGCCAAUCAAUAAUUGUGAUACAACACACAUGCUUAUUGGAUGGCCAAUUAAAAAUGACAGAUGGCUUCAGCCACUUUAGCAUCUGGCGAUCGUUCCACGGCAGACAAUUGUGCCGUUGUCACGUGUACCGUAGGAACUCCUUCAAUGUUCUGUCAAUUGUUCUUAAAAUACACUGUUCUUAAAAUGGUUUUAAAAAAAGCAAACAUUUCACAGCAUACUUCUAAAAGCUUUUUUGUCUGACACGCCUCAUGUUUUCCCAUUGCUAACAAUUAACUCUAGAGUACUGCUAGAAUAUCAACUUAAUUUCUGCCUUUUCCUGAAUAAACAUAUUUCUAUAUAAAAACAAGAUGAAACUCUCCCUCAGUCUUUACAUUAACUCAAUUCGCAAAGGAUGCUUAGAAGAAUUCGAUGAUGUGGCCCAAAUACGCUUAAAAUUCACAACUUACCAGCGAAUUGAACUCGUGCGAAUCAACGUCGGGGGAUCUUUCUGCUCCAUCGAUGAUUGUUCGCAGCUUGUAAAUGGUGAUAGUAAUGUUAGCAAGCAGUACCGACAGAGCAAAUAAGGCCACCUCUAGAAUAAGCGAAAAGGAAAAGUGCAGGAAAACUAGUUUGCGCUUGUCAUCUUCUUCUUCGUUUUUGUUUCGCCGCAUCUUUUCGACUUGUAAUAUUCGAAACACGAUGCUAGCUAGGGUAAACAUCGUCGUAACAAUCGCAAGAACGACAAUCAGCUUCGCCUACGGGAGAAGAUGAUAGUUAAAACAAAGCAAUGAAGGAUAUAACAGACAGGCAUCCAUGACAGUUGCAGAAAGAGCAUUGGAUUGCGGACCCCCUCAUGAAAAAACAGUAGAUUCAAAAUACCUUUAUUAUUAAGACGAUAUUUUAUUCUAAUUUGAAUGUGAUGAUUAUGGGAUAAUCUUCUGACCAAAAAGCAUCGCUGCCUUGAAGUUUUUGCAACAUAUUAAGUAUUAAAGCUGUUGAAAUAUUCUAUUGAAAGACUUCUUACCAAACACCAUCUUUUACGGAUCCUUGGUUUGUAAACAUAGGUAAGUCCUAAUAUGCCAGCAAUCGCAGCCUGUAAAAGAAGGGAUUUAUUUCAUAUUUCGACGCCCUGAUAGAUACAUAUAAAACAAGACAAAUUCCAUUGAAACCCUACACAGAAGGUAAGCUAUUCCAGUGACGAAAAAACCAUAAAUCCACGUAGAAGAUUUUUUGGCCUCACUACUAGAAAUUCGUUCUAAUAUAUCAACCAUAUUCAUGCAACUGGUGUGAAUUCGGUUUGUACGCAAUAGUCAAAUCUUUAACUUUUCAUAAAUAUCAAUAAUCGUAAUUUUUAAUAAUCUUUUAGCAUUCUGCAUAUUAACUAAGCGUUUAGUCAAGGCAGAAAGAUCAAUUUAUUGAAAUAAAUGCUUGCUGUUACAAAAAGUGCAAGUCAGUACAAGAACCUUUUACGUUGUCAUAGGUUCUAUAAUGUUUGAGGAUGUCAAUUUUUACAAUAUUUUAAUAUUUAUGUUAACGCUGAUAUCAUAAAGUACAAACAGUCAGCAUUAACUGAAUCAAAGAAAUCAGGCUUUCAAACAUGGGCUGGUCAAGGCUGUAUUUAAAACCAUUCAGUCCUGUGAAAAAAUAUGCUAGAACGAAGCAGUUCGUGCUGUUAUUUUUUCUUUAUUUAUUUAAAGGCAGUCUGUCCCCUCCAUGAUUGGCUAAUAUGAAAAAUAGGUCUUCCCACCUUAACGGAUAACAAAUUACAAUGCUUGCUUUGGCAGGCCUAGCUGCGGUAGUGGACGACAUUUAAAACUGCGAGCAAAAAGCUAUCGGAAAUGUCAAGAAGAUUUAAUUACUGAAAUUAAAUGAUGAUAAUGGAAGCAUUUCCUUUCGCUGUUGACUUAUUUGUCGCAGAAACCAAACAGAGAGCAAUAUUUUUCUAGCCACAGCUUCACUACAACGGGAAAACAGGCAUUUGAUUCGAAAGCUCUGUAAUCAAAGUUGCCUCUGAUUGGUGUUCAAAAGUUUAUUCAUAAUCAUCACGAGCUAUUCUCGUUGCUCUUUCAUGAAUCCGGUUUAUCCGGCUAUUACUUUUCCUACUGCAAAACAUCCAAAAAAGAGGACAAUAACUAAAAUGUGAUAAUAUGAACGUUUUCAUUGAAAGAAUUCGCUUAGAUUCGUCCAUAUACGAAGCAAUCCUGGCUAGAGAGUACAUGGAUACAUGUUCUGAUCUCAAAAUGAAACAGAGUAUUAGCAUCUAAGAUGGUUGCUAAGAGAGAUGUAACUUUGGCUGACAGCUUAAGAAUAAAUGUCAUUAAUACCUAAAUUUUAGUUGUAAUGUGAUUAAUCUUGUAGUUGUAAUCAAGGUCGAUAAAAAUUAAUUUCAGCAAUAAUAUAUACCGCAAAUCAAUAAAAAUGAGAAAUUUUGCAGCUUUUGAAAAUAGUCACAAUAACACAUUUCUUAAGCCGGUUUAAGAAAAGAAGGUCAAAAUCUAAGAAGUACAUGCCAUUAGCUAGCUACUCGUCUUGCUGGCUUUCCGCUAAACAUUAUUUGCGUAAUUUUGCUUUACUGUGGUUUCUUUCUUUGUUCUAUACAGCAGUGGUGCCGUGGAGGGGGCUCAGAGAGCUCAGACCCCUUGUUAAAAAUUUAGAGAUUUUUUUGGGGGGUGGGGGGGGAUGGUGCUCAGACACGUAAAAGACAAAAGCGGUCACAGCUUGAGUUUGGAGGUUGCGCUUUUUGGAGAGAGAUGCAUGUUGCUUCGAGGUUUUCUUAAUAAGGGU